rnacentral:rRNA from 1 species
AUUGAACGCUGGCGGCAGGCCUAACACAUGCAAGUCGAGCGGUAGCACAGAGAGCUUGCUCUCGGGUGACGAGCGGCGGACGGGUGAGUAAUGUCUGGGAAACUGCCUGAUGGAGGGGGAUAACUACUGGAAACGGUAGCUAAUACCGCAUAACGUCGCAAGACCAAAGUGGGGGACCUGCGGGCCUCAUGCCAUCAGAUGUGCCCAGAUGGGAUUAGCUAGUAGGUGGGGUAACGGCUCACCUAGGCGACGAUCCCUAGCUGGUCUGAGAGGAUGACCAGCCACACUGGAACUGAGACACGGUCCAGACUCCUACGGGAGGCGGCAGUGGGGAAUAUUGCACAAUGGGCGCAAGCCUGAUGCAGCCAUGCCGCGUGUGUGAAGAAGGCCUUCGGGUUGUAAAGCACUUUCAGCGGGGAGGAAGGCGUUAAGGUUAAUAACCUUGGCGAUUGACGUUACCCGCAGAGGAAGCACCGGCUAACUCCGUGCCAGCCGCCGCGGUAA